AGAAUCAACGCUGGCGGCGUGCCUAACACAUGCAAGUCGCACGAGAAAGGGGCUUCGGCCCUGAGUAAAGUGGCGCACGGGUGAGUAACACGUGAAUGAUCUACCUCCGAGUGGGGAAUAACUGAGAGAAAUCUUAGCUAAUACCGCAUAACACUUACGAGUCAAAGCAGCAAUGCGCUUGGAGAGGAGUUCACGGCAGAUUAGUUAGUUGGCGGGGUAAUGGCCCACCAAGACGAUGAUCUGUA
rnacentral:rRNA from 1 species